rnacentral:tRNA from 1 species
CGGGGCGUAGCGCAGCUUGGUAGCGCGCGUCGUUCGGGACGACGAGGUCGGAGGUUCAAAUCCUCUCGCCCCGACCA